AAAUAAAAGUGCCCAAGGAUGGGAAUUAAACCCACAUUGUUCCGCUUACCGGGCAGAUGCCAUGUCCACUAGGCUUUUAUU
rnacentral:tRNA from 1 species